UCAAGAGUGCGGGAGAGAUGAGGCAGGAGGCCGAAAGGGACUAACUGGAGAGCGGAAGGAAGGGAGAGAGGGGAGAAAGAGAGAGGGAGAGGGAGAGGGAGAGAGAAACUGAAACUGGGUAGGGGGCCAGCUUAGUCGGAAGCGGCCCUUUUACGGGAUUUUGAUUUCGACGCCUAAAGUUGCUUCAAAACCUAUCAGAACGUCGUGCCUUCGAAAAUCGAUACAAUGCACUGAAGCAAACCUCGGCUGCGUGGGCCCAGAGAGCUCUUCCUUCGCCGCCAUAAUCCGUUUCCCCGUGACCCACCAGAGAAAUUCUAAUGUCUCGGCGCCGCCAUCCUCAUCCCUGGAAAGGAAGGUGAGUCUUCUCUCGCCUCCCUUGGUCGGUCGUCCCUUCUCUGUGGUGGCAGGUGCGGUCAUCCCCUAUGAGCACGCCCUCUCGUCGGUUGUCUUCGAAGGUUACGGUGACCAGAGCUUCUAGCUUUCUGGUUUGGAAUUCGUAGCAGCGACGGUUUCUUGCUUCGCACCACGAUUAUCGUCAUCAUGUUUUCUAGCUUUCUGGUUUGGAAUUCGUAGCAGCGACGGUUUCUUGCUUCACACCACGAUUAUCGUUAUCAUGUUUCCGGCUAGGAAUCUCUGUGGUAAUAACUUUUCAUGAUCCUUCCCGACGACGAGUAACUGGCGUCUGAAUCCCAAGCAUCCGCCUUCCAGCAGUCGUCCGGUGGGCCAAAUGCGAUACUGAUAUCCGGCUGUCAUCACCUUCUCCGGCAUGCCGUCGGAAUUCGAUGCGGUGGACGUCGUUUGCUUAUGCCGCGGAGCUCUUCCUCCCUCCGGCCAGUCCCCCUGGCUCUUCUUCCUCCUCAUCCCAGCUUUCGGGAAUCCCUGUCCCUCUCUUCCAACUCGACUCGCAGGGCCUCCUCCCGCGGACGUCGGAGAAGUACCUGAAGACGAUGGAGAGGUGGGAGAAGCGUGGGUAUGGCCGGAGUCUCUGUUAGGGCCGUCUCGGCCCAUUGAGAGAUACAGAGCCGGCCCCAGAUUCUGCUCCUUCUCCCAGUGGGAACUGUUUUAACGAUCGCCACUGUCAAUGGUUGAGAGGAAGGUAAAGACGAUGGCCCCCAUUUUAUAUCCCGAUGAUGCUCUUUAUCAGUUCGGCGCGAAGAUACCGUCCCCCUCUCCCCUCCCGUUACGGAGGGCCACGCCUUCGAUCUCUCUCUUUCUCUCUCUCCUUCGAGCUCACCCGCCGCCAACCCCAAAUCGAACACCUCACUCAGGUAGUCGCGUAAUGAAGAAUUGAAGCCGUAGUUAGGUUUCACAGGGGACAUUCCGACGGUUCCCACGUUCAGCCUCCCUGGAGGUUGGGAGAAGAAGAUCAUGAAAGUCAGAGAGAGAGAGAGGGGGGAGGGGGUCAGGGCGGUGGUCGCCGCCCAACGCCGACAGCCAGACACCAUCGCACCCGCCUCGUCGCCGCUGGCGGCGAAUUGCCAUUCUUUUCGUCAAAACGUGAUCUUUAUGCUCUCAUCUCCGCUUCAAUCACACAACAUAUUAAAGGCUAUCAGACACUCCCAGGCUGGGCUCCCCCGCGGACGAGCCACCACGCCAUCACGCGCGCGCCGCGGUCAAUACCUAUUCGCCGGCGGCGCCUAGCGUGCAGCCCCUCCGGCCGUGAGGAGCCGCACGCAAGCGGACGAACGCCACGUGAACAGAGAGAUGGGCAUCUCCGAGGGGGAAUAAGAGGAAGACGGCUGGCCCCCGCCAUCCGCAUCUCCUCUACUGGCAGCCGACCCGGUGCAGGCCCUCAGAGCCCUCCGGUCCCCAUCUCCGGCCCCCUCCCACUCGCCCCGCCUCAUCUGUCCUUUUCCUUGGAGGGGAGGAGGGGAUAAGAAGAGGGACGGCGGGGGAUCCUCGCCGGAGACGCCUUCACGUGGGAGGGCCCCGGAGACUCGCGGCGAGCGGCGCCAUGUCCUCAAGAGAGGGAAUUUAUUUAUUACUCUACGUGCGUGACACGGUGCCGGCUCUUUAUUGACGAGCUGCUUUUCUCUAAUAAUUUUUAUUUCUCCGGUGCCUGCCUGCAGCUCCGUCCGCAAGAUUUUUUUAAUUUAUCAGCCG
rnacentral:lncRNA from 1 species